CUAAUGAAUCCUAAUUGGCUUGCUCUUUAGAACUUCAAUUUUGUGCCAAUUCAUAUCUCUAUAUAUAUAUCAAAUUGUGCUUAUUUUCUAAAAGAAUAAAAGAAAGUUUGUAAAAGAGCUCUAAGAUGUAUCAAAAACUGCAUAUUUUGGUACUUGUGCCCCAAUGCUCUUAUUAUCAUAAAAGAACUUUGAAGUCAUUAAGAACUAAUGAUCCAACAUGAUGAUAUGUUUUUCAAGUAUAUGAGUUUUGAUCUUAUAUUCUGAAAGUUAAUUAAAUUGCUCUCAUGUUGAUAAAGUACUUAAUAGAUUGGGCAAAAGAUCUUAAAUGAACAAGCUUUCAUACUUAGUAUUGAAGAGAGGUUAGAUUUCCAUUCGUGCUUUUCUUGAAUAUCAUUUGUGGGACUUCUUGAAUUAACUUAAGAAAGAUUCCACCUACACUUGAUUAGAAAACUAUCUGUGGUAUCAAAUUAGAAA
rnacentral:lncRNA from 1 species